rnacentral:rRNA from 1 species
CAGCAGCCGCCGCGGGAAUACGAAGGGGGCUAGCGUUGUUCGGAUUUACUGGGCGUAAAGGGCGCGUAGGCGGACUGAUAAGUCAGGGGUGAAACCCCAAGGCUCAACCUUGGAACUGCCUUUGAUACUGUUUGUCUUGAGUUCGAGAGAGGUAAGUGGAACUGCGAGUGUAGAGGUGAAAUUCGUAGAUAUUCGCAAGAACACCGAUGGCGAAGGCAGCCCCCUGGGCCAAUACUGACGCUCAUGCACGAAAGCGUGGGGAGCAAACAGGAUUAGAUACCCCAGUAGUCCCUGUCUCUUAUAC